UACGUAGGGCGCAAGCGUUGUCCGGAUUUAUUGGGCGUAAAGAGCUCGUAGGCGGUCUGUCACGUCGGCUGUGAAAACCCGAGGCUCAACCUCGGGCCUGCAGUCGAUACGGGCAGACUAGAGUGCGGUAGGGGAGACUGGAAUUCCUGGUGUAGCGGUGAAAUGCGCAGAUAUCAGGAGGAACACCGGUGGCGAAGGCGGGUCUCUGGGCCGUAACUGACGCUGAGGCGCGAAAGCCAGGGGAGCAAACGGG
rnacentral:rRNA from 1 species